AUGGUUGAUCCAGCUUUAUUUACUAAAUUCGAUGGUUUAUCAACUACAAGGAAAUUGGUUAAUGGUACUGGCAUGGUGGGAAAUGCAGAGAAUGCCCGCUUCUCCUGGCCUGCGUUUGUAGCGCUCUUGCUUCUGUUUUGUUCUUUUCUAAUCAUUUUAGGAAUCAGAAAAUGGUGUCAGUACCAAAAAGAAAUUAUGAACAGACCUCCAUCUUUCAAGCCACCACCACCUCCAAUUAAGUACACAUCCAUGCUAGAAUCUGAUGGAACUACCCCAUCCUGCCAUGAACUGGAAACUUUGUAAUGUUUCUUGAUGUAUUCCUGAACUAUCUCUGAAGAAUAUUAUAUCUUGUAACUGAGUAAGCCUUUUAAAAUGCAGAUUGCUGGAGUUCAGUCUGAAUGACCCAUAUUGAGAGUCAAACUUCUUAAACUGACAAGGUCAGAAGCAAAGCACUCCUGAGUAUGCUUUCUCAUCCAUUUAGAUAUGCAUUCAUCUGACAGACUGGAGUCUAACUGCAGCACAUUGGAGAUUACAGGUGCUCAACUUGGAUUGGGUGAUCAGAUGGGAAUUUGCUGUCUUAAUAAUGGGAGUAGAUUAGUGCAUGUGUCACUUCAUUAAUCUGCCUAGAAAAAAUGUUGAAGAAUUUUAUUUUGGUAUGCCUAUAAUUACGAGAUAUGGCAGACAUAAUUACUCCACAGUCUUGGUAAUACUUUUGGAAGCUUUCUGACACAUGCGUGAACAGGGUUUUUUUAAACUAUAAUCUUUCUUACUAUACAAAUACUGAUAUACAGUGAGGUUAGCCAAUGCUCAGCCUAAAAAGCUGGAGCAUUCAUUGUAGGACGAUAGUCCACCAUAUAUCAUCACUGACAUCCAAUGUGGACUCACUUGGAAAGGCUGACAUGAGAGGAGGCUGCUGUUUCCUUCUGACGUGAUUUGCUGAGAAGACCUGCUGCAUAUAUUGAAAGUGCCAGGCCAAGGAGAGGUCAGGUUAUCUAGCAAGCCAUCUUAAAUGGGAGACCUAAGGACUGAAAUACAUAACAAUCCAAGGGGAUGAUAAUAGAAACAGUGAUUGCUUCCAUGGACAAUAGCUAUUGAAAGUAACAAUUGUUCAAAGAUACAAAUAUUUUC
rnacentral:lncRNA from 1 species